rnacentral:rRNA from 1 species
GAUGAACGCUGGCGGCGUGCCUAAUACAUGCAAGUCGAGCGAACGGACGAGAAGCUUGCUUCUCUGAUGUUAGCGGCGGACGGGUGAGUAACACGUGGAUAACCUACCUAUAAGACUGGGAUAACUUCGGGAAACCGGAGCUAAUACCGGAUAAUAUUUUGAACCGCAUGGUUCAAAAGUGAAAGACGGUCUUGCUGUCACUUAUAGAUGGAUCCGCGCUGCAUUAGCUAGUUGGUAAGGUAACGGCUUACCAAGGCAACGAUGCAUAGCCGACCUGAGAGGGAGAGGGGAAACAGGGAAGAGGAGACAGGGACAAGAAGACGAGGGGAGGCAGAAGGAGGGAAGAUUCGGAAAGGGGAGAAAGCAGGAGGGAGAAACGCGGGGGGAGGGAGGAAGGGUUGGGGAAAGUAAAACGUUGUUAGGAGGAAAAAAAAGAUGUGAAAGAAAAGGGGCAAAUGUGAAGGGAACAAAAAAAGAAAGCAACGAAAAAAUACGU